GAUGAACGCUAGCGACAGGCUUAACACAUGCAAGUCGAGGGGCAGCAUGAUUUGUAGCAAUACAGAUUGAUGGCGACCGGCGCACGGGUGAGUAACGCGUAUGCAACUUACCUAUCAGAGGGGGAUAGCCCGGCGAAAGUCGGAUUAAUACCCCAUAAAACAGGGGUCCCGCAUGGGAAUAUUUGUUAAAGAUUCAUCGCUGAUAGAUAGGCAUGCGUUCCAUUAGGCAGUUGGCGGGGUAACGGCCCACCAAACCGACGAUGGAUAGGGGUUCUGAGAGGAAGGUCCCCCACAUUGGAACUGAGACACGGUCCAAACUCCUACGGGAGGCAGCAGUGAGGAAUAUUGGUCAAUGGGCGAGAGCCUGAACCAGCCAAGUAGCGUGAAGGAUGACGGCCCUAUGGGUUGUAAACUGCUUUAUAAGGGAAUAAAGUGAGUCUCGUGAGACUUUUGCAUGUACCUUAUGAAUAAGGACCGGCUAAUUCCGUGCCAGCA
rnacentral:rRNA from 1 species